rnacentral:rRNA from 1 species
UAGAGUUUGAUCCUGGCUCAGGACGAACGCUGGCGGCGUGCCUAACACAUGCAAGUCGAACGAGGUCCAAGGAGUGCUUGCACUCCUGAAGACCUAGUGGCGGACGGGUGAGUAACACGUGAGAAACCUGCCCCAGACUCUGGGAUAACCCAAGGAAACUUGAGCUAAUACCGGAUACCCUCCUGCGGUCGCAUGGCUGCUUGAGGAAAGUUUUUCGGUCUGGGAGGGUCUCGCGGCCUAUCAGCUUGUUGGUGGGGUAACGGCCCACCAAGGCUACGACGGGUAGCUGGUUUGAGAGAACGAUCAGCCACACUGGAACUGAGACACGGUCCAGACUCCUACGGGAGGCAGCAGUGGGGGAUAUUGCGCAAUGGGCGGAAGCCUGACGCAGCGACGCCGCGUGGGGGAUGACGGCCUUCGGGUUGUAAACCUCUUUCGCCAGGGACGAAGCGGAAGUGACGGUACCUGGAUAAGAAGCACCGGCCAACUACGUGCCAGCAGCCGCGGUAACACGUAGGGUGCGAGCGUUGUCCGGAAUUAUUGGGCGUAAAGAGCUCGUAGGCGGUCUGUCGCGUCGGUCGUGAAAACCUGCAGCUUAACUGUGGGCUUGCGGUCGAUACGGGCAUGACUGGAGUUCGGCAGGGGAGACUGGAAUUCCUGGUGUAGCGGUGAAAUGCGCAGAUAUCAGGAGGAACACCGGUGGCGAAGGCGGGUCUCUGGGCCGAUACUGACGCUGAGGAGCGAAAGCGUGGGGAGCGAACAGGAUUAGAUACCCUGGUAGUCCACGCCGUAAACGUUGGGCGCUAGGUGUGGGGGCCAUUCCACGGUCUCUGUGCCGCAGCUAACGCAUUAAGCGCCCCGCCUGGGGAGUACGGCCGCAAGGCUAAAACUCAAAGGAAUUGACGGGGGCCCGCACAAGCGGCGGAGCAUGUGGAUUAAUUCGAUGCAACGCGAAGAACCUUACCUGGGUUUGACAUGCACCAGACAUCCCUAGAGAUAGGGCUUCCCUUGUGGUUGGUGUGCAGGUGGUGCAUGGCUGUCGCCAGCUCGUGUCGUGAGAUGUUGGGUUAAGUCCCGCAACGAGCGCAACCCUCGUUCCAUGUUGCCAGCGGGUUAUGCCGGGGACUCAUGGGAGACUGCCGGGGUCAACUCGGAGGAAGGUGGGGAUGACGUCAAGUCAUCAUGCCCCUUAUGUCCAGGGCUUCACACAUGCUACAAUGGCAAGUACAGAGGGCUGCGAGACCGUGAGGUGGAGCGAAUCCCUUAAAGCUUGUCUCAGUUCGGAUCGGGGUCUGCAACUCGACCCCGUGAAGUUGGAGUCGCUAGUAAUCGCAGAUCAGCAACGCUGCGGUGAAUACGUUCCCGGGCCUUGUACACACCGCCCGUCACGUCACGAAAGUUGGUAACACCCGAAGCCGACGGCCUAACCCCUUGUGGGAGGGAGUUGUCGAAGGUGGGACUGGCGAUUGGGACGAAGUCGUAACAAGGUAACCGUA